rnacentral:rRNA from 1 species
UUUAAUUCGAUGCAACGCGAAAACCUUACCCACCUUUGACAUGUACGGAACCCUUUAGAGAUAGAGGGGUGCUCGAAAGAGAGCCGUAACACAGGUGCUGCAUGGCUGUCGUCAGCUCGUGUCGUGAGAUGUUGGGUUAAGUCCCGCAACGAGCGCAACCCUUGUCAUUAGUUGCUACAUUCAGUUGGGCACUCUAAUGAGACUGCCGGUGACAAGCCGGAGGAAGGUGGGGAUGACGUCAAGUCCUCAUGGCCCUUAUAGGUGGGGCUACACACGUCAUACAAUGGCUGGUACAAAGGGUUGCCAACCCGCGAGGGGGAGCCAAUCCCACAAAACCGGCCCAGUUCGGAUCGAAGGCUGCAACUCGCCUUCGUGAAGUCGGAGUUGCUAGUAAUCGCGGAUCGGCAUGCCGCGGUGAAUACGUUCCCGGGCCUU